UCCUAAUUCUAAUAGAAUAUUAAUAAUGCUAAAGAAUAUUUAAUCAAAUUUAGAGAAACCUCAAAUGAAUUCAAAAGAAACAAUAAGAAAUCUUAAGAAAUAUUAGAAUGAUUACAAACAUAUCACAAAUAUAUCUCAAUUCAAUCUUAAUUAAAUUUUAGUUGAAAUCUUACUUCAUUCAAAUUUUAGGCCAAAAACUAAAUAAAUCUUAAAUCCUAAAUAAACUCAAAUAAAAUCCUAAAUCCUAAAUCAAAUCCUAAUCAAAUCUUAACCAAAGCUUAAAUCCUAACCAAAUUCUAAAUCCUAAACCAAAUUCUAAUCCUAAAUCAAAUCCUAAUCAAAUCCUAAAACUUAAAUCAAAUCCUAAUCCUAAAUUAAAUCCUAACCAAAUCCUAAAUCAUAACCUUAAAUCAAAUCCUAACCAAACCUUAAUCAAAUCCUAACUCUAAAUCAAAUCCUAAUCUUAAUCCUAAAUCCUAAAUCAAAUCCUAAUUCUAAAAUAAAUCCUAACCAAACUUUAAUCUUAAAUCAAAUCCUAAUCAAACUCUAAACUCUAAAUCCUAAACCAAAUCCUAAUCUUAAAUCCAAUCUUAACCAAAUCCUAAAUCCUAACUCUAAAUCAAAUCCUAAUCAAAUCCUAAUCCUAAAACCUAAAUCAAAUCCUAACCAAAUCCUAACCCUAAAUCAAAUCCUAACCAAAUCUUAACUCUAAAUCAAACCCUAACCAAAUCCUAAAUUCUAAACCAACUCCUAAUCCUAAAUCAAAUCCUAACCAAAUCUUAACUAAAUCUUAACCAAAUAAAAUCCUAAUGCUAAUCCUAAAUCAUAAACUAAAUCCUAAUUAAAUCCUAAUCCUAAAUCAAAUCCUAACUAAAUCGUAAUCCUAAAUCAAAUCCUAAUCAAACCCUAGUAAUUUCUACAACAAAAUUAAACCUCAAUAACUAAUGAAUGAACCAUCGAUCUUAACUCAAAUUUUUUACACUUCUUAAAAAUUAAGUUAAAAACAAGCACAAAAUUUUUAAAAAGCAUUGGAAUUAUCAAAUAGGCGAUAACCUCAAAAACAUACUCGGGUAUUGGCCGGCCUCCUUCUCCAACCUUGAUGACAAUCUUCCAAAGCCAAUAUCUCUCCUUUACAUCAUUUGAUUGAUUUCAAAAUUCUAACACACAUAGAAAAACAAGUCUAAUAUCUUCUUGUAUAAAUUUUACUCCAAUCCAAUUUAUAUAUUUCAAGAAAUCUUAAAAAUCCUCACUAGACCUAAAAUUCUACUUUCUGAGACCUUGAUUCACUUAAACCUCAAUACCCUCAAUUCAACCAUUAGAUUGAGCUAAGAUUUAUGACAUAUAUUAAGCACAAUUAUAACCAUUAAUCCACAAAAUUUUAAUUAUAGAUAUGUUACAAAAUUCUUGAAAUUAUUAGAAACAUCAAUCUUAUUUUAUUUCACAAACCCAAAGUCAUCCAAAAACAAUCUUGACUUUGUAAAGCUUUUACAAAGUCAUAAAAACUCCAAAUUAUCCAAAACCAAUGCUUAUAGAAACUUUAUUCAAUCUGCUAUCAAAGUCCACUCUUUGAUUUGCAAAAAAAUCCCUCGAGUUACAAUAGGUACUCGAUUUUGUGCCUCAGGGUUUGAUUUUGAUUCAAGUUGAUAAUUAGCCCUCCUUGGAUAACAAUAUCUAAUUUUUUUAGGUAAUUUUUGCUAGAAUUUACUCUUAAUUUCUUCUUGAGGAUGUUUAUAUCACUUAUUUUUCUAAUCUACCUUAUUUUGUCUUAUUUUUUGGCCCUACAAAGUAAGUAGAAGCUAUUUUUUCUAAAAGGACAGCAUUACAACUAAAAGUUUUACUACCUUCCUAUCUUUUAUCUAUAUUUUUCUAUUUUUUCUUUUAACUUGGCUCUUCUAUAAUAAGAUCCAUAUUAUUAUCUUUUAUCAUAUGGUCGUGUUACAACACGACAUCCACCUCCUCUGAACUUGUGCGUCCUCCCAUAUACACCAAAUAAUCCAACUUUUUUUGAUUCAUACUAUAUUUUUAAUGUCCUCAUCUAAUUCAUCUUCUUCAUAUUUACUAUUCAAAUCAAAAUCAUCUUAUUUUCUUGAAAGAUUUAUGUCUUUAAUAAAGUCUUCUAUAUUUAUUUAUAUUUACUUUUGUUUGAAUAUCUUCACUUGCUUUUGUUGUCAUCAUCCUUUAAUCGAAUAUAUGCAUGUUUCUUCAAGAAUCUUUCAAUCUAUUUUCUUGAUAAAUACCAAAAAUCCUUCAUCAUCUUCUAAUGUUCCUAACUCAUAUAAUUCUUUCUCAAUCAUUUUUUUUUAAUUUUUAAAUACUAAUAAAACUUAAAUCAAAGGCACCUAUAUCUUGUAAGAUUACCUCCCUUUUUAUACCUCCAUAGUCUUGCUUUACAAUGAUACUUUUCUAAAAUCUUUUUUUUUUUUUUUUUUUGUUUUUUUUUUCACUAAAAACAUCAAUCCUAUUUAAUUUGACUAAACCCAAGUCAUCCAAAAAUAAUCUUGACUUUGUAAAGCUCUUACAAAGUCAUAACAUCUCCAAAUUGUCCAAAACUAAUGCUCAUAAAAACCUUAUCCAAUUUGCUAUCAAAUUCGAUUCUCUGAUUUAUUAAAGAAUCCCAAAGUCGUCGUCGAGACUCAGUUUUGUGCCUCAGGGUCUGAUAUUAACCUUGGUUCAUAACCAGCCCUCUCCGAGUAUCAAGAUCUAGUUUUUCUAAGUAAUUUUUGCUAAAACUUACUCUUAAUUUCUUUCUCAAGAUGCAUACAUUAUUUAUUUUUCCAAUCUACUUUAUUUUUUUUUAUUUAUGGUUCUACAAAGUAAGUAGAAGUCACCUUUCUAAAAGUCAACAUUGGCAUCUUUUAGUUUUACUACCUUUCUGACUAUUAACUAUAUUUCUAAGAUAAUUUUUUCUAAUAAUUUGAACUAAGAUCUCCUACAUUAUAAUAAUUUCUACACUCUUUCACCUAUUAGUUAUGUUACAUCACGACAUCUAUUCUCCUUGAAUCUUUGCAUCCUCUAGCAUGUACCAACGCUUCUUUAAUAUAUUGAUGUAGAAUGUUCUUUAUCUUGGUCUAAUUCUUGAACUUCAAUAUGCUCUUCUGUUCCAAUCUCAAUAUCUUAUAUUGGAGUUUGUUCUUCAUCAAAAAAAAUGUCUUCAUCUCUUUGUUUAAAUAACUUGAUUUGUUUGCCUGCUAUGAGUACCUUCAAUUCUGUACCAUCAAGUUCUUGUAAUAAAUAUGUUCCAUUGUUGUACGCCUUUUUGACAAUAUAAGGCUCAAACCAUCUCUUUGCAAACUUCUUUGUAGUGCUAUGUUGAUUCUCUAAGCUACUAUCAUAAACUAAUAUCCAAUUACCAUCUUCAAUUACCUUAGGUCGUAGUCGAUGCUUUUUAUCAAAUCUUUCCUUAUUCUUUUGCUUGCUUCUUUCAAUUUUUUUUAUUGCUGUUUCAAUAUCAUUAGGUCUUCUUUCUAGUUGUUGAAUCCGUAAUACUAAAUUUCUUCUCUGUUGACAUCAUUCUUCCGAGGCAAUACAUCCCAUGUAGGUACUAUAUCUUUUAUUGGUAUUACUGGUUUUUGUCCAUAUAUUAAAUCAGAAGGCAUAUAACCUGUUACUGAACUAUGAGUUGUAUGAUCUGCCCAUAGUGCAAAUAGUAGUAGUCUAAGCCAUUCAUGUGCUUCGCCAUUGCGUGCCUUUAUUAAUGUCUUAACAAUAGAUGAAUGUCCAUGCUUACUUUUACCAUUACCUUCUGGGUUAUAUGUUUUUGUUAAAAAAAGUUUAAUUCCUAUUUUAUUAAAGGAUUCUCGUGCUUCCUUUGCAUCCAAUUCAUUCUUAUCUGUCAUGAUUUUUUUAAUACAACCAUAGUGAUAAAUAUCCUCUUCUAAUAGAAAUCGACAUACACCUUUAGUAUUCUUUGUUUUAAAUGCUCGUCCUUUAACUACAUUUGAUAAAGCUUCUCGUGCAAGUACCAAAUACUUCAUUUGUCUAAGUCCCAUAGGCAUUGCCACUAAAUCCACUACCUAUUUAUAAUGUAAAGCCAAAAGAUAUGUUGGAUGUAAUCCAUCUCGAUGCCAAAUAUUUGAAUAUACUUAGCAAGUUUGACAAGAUCCCACAAAAUUUGCUACGUCUUUGUACAUUCCCUUCUACCAAUAUUUUUUUCUUAACUUAGUGAAUGUUACCCAAAUACCUCGGUGCCUUGCCCAUAAAUUUUUAUGAAAUUCUUUAAUAAUCCUUUGUUGAGCUUCUAAACCACAUAUCAUCUUUUUUAGUACUUUUCUUCUUUUUUAGAUACUUCCAUAAAUAUCCAUCAUAUAAAAAAUAUCCAUAGGCUUUUUUACUGAUUUUUUUAAAUUCUUGAUCUGUUCAAUCUUUUUGUUACUUUAAUGUGCUCAAAUACUCUCCAACAUCUUUCCAUUCAUUUUCAUAUAAAUCUCUUAAAAAUAUUUUCAAUGGUAUAUUCAAACAUACACCUUUUUCCUUUGAUAAUGCAUUAGUAUAAAAUUUUGUACCCACAUCAUCUUCCAAAUCAAUCAUCUCUUCUUCAUCAUUAUACGUUGCUCUUGAUAAUAUAUCUCCAAUUGAAUUUUCUUUCCCUACAAUAUGUUUAAAUUCUAGAUUCAUAGAUUUUAUAUAUGCUAUCUACCUCAACAUACCAAUAUCAGGAGUUGAACAACUUGUAAUCAUGCCUAACAAAAAUAGAUAAUCUGUUUCUAUAACUAUUGAUGCACCAAUCAAGUACUCUUUUUUAUUUUUCAUAGCUAUUACUACACCCCAUAACUCUCUUUUGAUUUGCCCAUAAGUCCUUUGUCUAAAAUUCAAUACUUUUAUUCCAAAUCUUACUACAUAUCUAUUCCCUUGUUCAUCAUCUUGUCCAUCUACCCAACCUAUUAUAAUUGAAUUUGCAUCAACUGUUAAUACCAUUGACCUUCCACCUUCAUUAUUCACUUUCUUCAAAGUUGGAGAUGAAGAAAGAAGUUCUUUCAAUUUUUCCAUAACUUUCUAUUGUUCUUCUUUCUAUUGAAAUUUUUGAUUCUUUCUUAACAAUCCAUACAAAAGAUCUGCUAUAUGUGCAAAGUGAAGUAUUCAUAUACGAUAGAAAAUACAUGCUUCUAAAAAUCUUCUCACUUCUAUUAUAUUUGUACAUUCUUUUAUCUUUUUAAUAAUAUCAAGCUUUUCUAUAUUUGGCUUACGUCCAUAUGAACCACACAUGUAUCUUACCAUCAAAACUUCUUUUACUCCAAACAUUGAUUUUGUCCUCAAUAAGGUUAAAUGAACUUCUUCUAAUCUUUUCAAAAUCUUCUCACAAUCUUCAAUAUGAUCUGUCACAAACUUCUUACAUCCCUUUGAAUCCAAAGUCUCAUCUUUUUUUUCUUCUUCACAUCCCUUAAUUGGUAUAUCAUCUAAGAAAGACAUUGUUCUUCUUGAAAUAAAAUCUUUUAACACCUGAUGCAUUCCAUUCAUCAUAUGUGCUACAAAAUUUAUAGCCCUUUGUAGUAAUGUGCAUAUUCUAACCAAUCCUAACCAUGUCUUCAUAAUUGUCAAAUCCCUACUUUGUAUUCCCAAUUGAAAUUGAUCAUAACCUGAAUAAAGAUCACUCAUUGAAUAGAUAGCUCUUUCGGCAAAUGUUUUUGCAAAUUCAUCCACAAUUGGACUUGAAUCCAUAUUUCUAAUAGUCACUUUAUUUACAGGUUGCAUGUCUUAUAUAAAUCUCAUUGUUCUAUUUUUUUUUCAUAUUGUAAACCAUCGAUUAGAAUAAAGUACCAUAGAUGGUUCCAAAAUUUCUAUUUUAAUCUUUUUAUUAAAUAAAUCUACUAAUUUAGAUAAAUAUACUCUUGGUACUGGAAUUAGUCGCAAAUUCCAUGGUUCAUGAGGAAUAGUAAAAAUAACCAUGGAUGCUAUAAUACUUGGAUCAAUACAUCCUAUUUCAUAUGCUUCAAAUGCAAAAGCCUUUCCAUGACAUGAAAACAUAUUCCUAAAAUAUUUUUCUUUACAUUUUGUCAAAAAUCCAUCGUAUCAAACAUUUAAUCCAUCUAAUGUAACAUCCAUAAAUUUAUGGUCUAUCUUCCUUGCAUCCCUUAAAUUUGGAUGUGUCGAUGCUCUACUUAUCUUUUCUUCAUAAUCUGAUGGUAGAGGCAAAGCCACUGGUUUGACCUUUCUUGCUAUUGAUUUAUACUUAGUUUCAACACAUACCUCUUGGCAACUUAAAUUUUCUAUAAAUCCUUGAAUUUCAUCAUAAAAUUCUUUAGAACACACAUUAAUAACUCUAUUCUCUACUUGUAACUUACAUUAUAAUAGAUAAUUUAAUUCUUCCAUAGUAUGUGCAAAACCUACUUCUUCAUAUACUCCUGAAAGAAAUUCAUUUUCAACCAAUGCUCCAUUUUCUUUCAAGUUUUACUCAAUAUUUUUAAUAUAACAUCUGUUCAUCCUUUUUAUUUUGUCAAUAGUCUUAAAACACAAUACACAAUCUUGUGUCAUCCCAAUAAGUUUGAUAGAUAAUAUUUCUUCUUUUAAAGUAAUCCAUUACAACCUUGCCUUACAAUGGUAUGUAGUAAAAACCCUCAAGGUCUUCAAAUUUUUCAUUUGAUAAUGGCUUCUCUCUUAACUUAUCACAAUUUCUCUCAUGAUAAGCACAAACAAUUAAAAAUUGAACUGCUUUCAUCCCAUCUUCGCUUCUUAUUCUUGUAUAGGUUGAACCAUCAUCCAUUACUUUUGUUUCGAUUUGUUUGGCAAUAAUAUAUGAUUGUCUCAAUAUAAUAGGAUAUGUAGACAUGUCUUGUACAAAGAAAUUUUGUUCAUGAAUAAUAUCUCUUAUUAUCACCUUGAUAUUUAGACAUGCUCCAUAGAAAUCUCCUUUUGAAUUAUUUGCUGUUCUUAUCAUCCACCCAUGUUCAGUAUCAAUAGGCCAUUUUUCUUUUUUAUACAAUUCUUUUGACAUCAAAUUGAUUUCAGAACUAUGAUCAAUCAAUGCUACAACUAGUUCUUCUAAAUUUUCUAAUUUUAUCAAAAAAAUUGUAACAACCCUUAUCUAAUGACUUCUAGAAUAAUGGCUAGAAGUUUAAAUGACAUCUUCUUUUUCUACAAAUCUUACUCGCAAGACAUCUCCAAAAUUUUGUAUUUCAUCUUCUUCAUCUUCAUUGCUUUCCAUUGCCCUUGUUUUUUGUGCAUUUGAUGUCAUAGAAUUUCCUAUAGAUUGUCAUUUUCUCUUUAUUGUAUCAAUAAUAACUUCAUGAAAGUCACGCUUUGCAAUUCCUAAAAUUUUACCAAUUGUGAAUUCAACCUUUUCACUUAAAAUCCGCUCUUCCAAUAUUUUCUUUAAAUAUGUAGCAACUUCAAUAUCUAAUUGUAAUUUAUAAGCAUGAGCCUUUGUUUUUUCUUUUUCAAUUUUCCUUCUUUUUGUAGAAAUAUUCUCUAUUAUCUCUUCAUGUAUAGGAUUCUUUUGUUGUCAUGCUUUUUUUCUCCUUACCCUUCAUUAUUUUCAUCUCUCUUUCAUUUUUCUUUUAUUAAUGCUUCAUGUUGACUCCUUGCAAUAUGAGCAUGCACAGAUAAUCUAUCUAUUAGAUCAUCCCACCUAAUAAUCUAUCAAAUGUUAUUACCAACAUGUUUUAAAUCAUCUCUAGUAAAAUUUCUCCUUUCAGCAUAAUUCAUUGUAUUUGUCUACAAAGAACUAGAUUCUCUUAGAAAUUCAAGUUUUAUACUUAAACAUUUACUAGGAUUUGCUUCCACCUAAUAUAUUGAUGCUUCAUUUCUUGAGAUUGCAUGCACUUUAAAAGUAUCUCCUACAAAUAACUUCAUUCAUCCUUUACCAAAAUUUGUUUCUAAUUUUUCUCCACUUUCUUUUAAAUAUAUCAUAUCAUCUUUAAAAAAAUAAUUCAUUUACAUAAUGCCUCUAUAAAAUCUUCACAUUCCCUCCUUAAAUGAUCUAUGCUAUCACACCACAUGCACCUAUAUACUACACCUUCUAUUGGCCCUAAUCUUUGUUUUAUUGAUAAUCUAGAUGAUUGAUCCUUCUCUUCAAGUUUUACAAAUUUUAUUUACAAAUAUCUCAUUCCACAUAUGAUUUUAUCAAUGCCCAUUUCUUCUUUCUUUGAUGUAGCCAUUGAAAGUUGAAUCAAAGAUGUUGAAUGGAUACUAUGCACUUUUAUCUUAGAUGCUUGUAAUGGUCUUUGAAUACCCACUCUAUCUUUUUUCCUUUCUCUUUUUGCCAAUAGUCCUACUGUUUACUCUACUUCUUUUUAAUUUGUUGUCAAUCCUUCAUCUUUUUCUUUAUCUUCAAGUAAGAUUUCCAACUUCUCUUGCAACUCUCUAUCAGCUGCUUGAAGAAAGAACUCCACCAUACUUGGGUCCACCAAUUAUCUUUCUUUCUUUGAUAAAGAAGAAUAUUGCUUUUCAAACUCCCUUAAUAACUUUGUUGCUAGAAGAUCCUUCUCUGGCCUUUCAAUCCAUUCAAAAAAAGACUUUUUUGUAAUCCUAUCACUAUCUCCCAAGAAAAACUCAUCCUUCAAUCCUUGAGAAAAUUUCUCCCAUGAAUCUCCAAAAUGUCCUAUAAGAGACUUUACUUGAUUUCUUAUUUUUUGUGCAGAGGCUAAUUCAAAUAAUUGAACCAUCUCCCUUUCUGAAAUACACUUCAAUUCUAUUUCUUUUACAUAAUAUCUUAAAUAUGUUAUAAUAACUUUUCCUUCAAAUUGAUCGAUCUUGUCUACAACUGCUUGUAAUGCUUUGUUAGCCAUACUUUCUUUGCGAUCUUUAACUUGUUGCUAUUCCUGUUGCAUGAAUAAGGCAAAAGUCUCAAUCAUGCUUGCAAAUUUAGGACCAAAAUGACUACCUUGUCCUCCAAUCGAAGCUCAUCUUCUAACUCCACUUGAAGCACCAUCAAAAAUUCCUCCUUCCAUUGUCUUGCAUUCUUUUUUCAAAAUUCAAAUAAUCCAAGAAAACCAAAUUCCUUCUACCUCAAGCGUUUCAUGUUAGAUUCACCAAACAUGUUGUAAUAUGUGAAGUCUUGCAUGAGAAUGCUCCGUGUACUUGGGUGUAGAAGGUAGAAUAUAAAUUGAAAUUAAAAAAUCUUAAUUCUAAUAGAACACUAACAAUGCUAAAGAAGCUUUAAUCAAAUUCAGAGAAACCUCAAACAAAUUCAAAAGAAAUGAUAAGAAAUCUUAAAGAAAUAUUAUAAUGAUUACAAACAUAUCUCAAAUACAUCUCAAUUCAAUCUUAAUUUAAUCUUAGUUGAAAUCUUACUUCAUUCAAAUUUUAGGCGAAAACCUAACUAAAUCUUAAAUCCUAAAUAAACUCAAAUAAAAUCCUAAAUCUUAAAUCAAAUCCUAAGCAAAUUCUAAAUCCUAAAUCAAAUGCUAAGCUUAAUUCAAGUCCUAAUUAAAUCUUAAAUCCUAAACCAAAUCCUAAUCCUAAAUCAAACCCUAACCAAAUCUUAACCCUAAAUCAAAUCCUAACUUAACCUUAAAUCCUAAAUCAAAUCCUAAUCUUAAAUCGUAUCCUAACAAAAUCUUAAAUUGUAACCUUAAAUCAAAUUCUAACCAAACUCUAAUCCUAAUCCUAAAUCCUAAUUCAAAUCCUAACCAAACUUUAACUCUAAAUCAAAUCCUAACCAAACUCUAAAUCCUAAACCAAAUCCUAAUCCUAAAUCAAAUCUUAACCAAAUCUUAACCAAAUCCUAAUCCUAAAUCAAAUCUUAACUAAAUCCUAAUACUAAAUCAAACCCUAACCAAAUCGUAAUCGUAAAUCAAAUCCUAAUCAAACCCUAGUAAUUUCUACAACAAAAUUAAACCUCAAUAACUAAUGAAUGAACCAUCGAUCUUAACUCAAAUUUUUUAUACUUCUUAAAAAUUAAGUUGAAAACAAG
rnacentral:lncRNA from 1 species